rnacentral:misc_RNA from 1 species
GAAAAGAGAGACAACCCCAAAAUGAAAGCAACCAGGAGGCCAAUUCAGGCCGUCGCCACAUGGGUUCGCCGGCAACCCCCCAAGAUCAAGGCUUUUCUAGCUGUCGUCUCUGGAAUGGCUGCUCUUGUUUUCUUGCGCUUUGUGGUUCAUGACCACGACAAUCUUUUCGUUGCCGCCGAGGCCGUUCACGCCAUUGGAAUCUCCGUCCUCAUUUAUAAACUCAUGAAGGAGAGGACUUGCGCAG